rnacentral:rRNA from 1 species
UGAGGGAUAUUGCACAAUGGGCGCAAGCCUGAUGCAGCGACGCCGCGUGGGUGAAGAAGGUUUUCGGAUCGUAAAACCCUUUUCUGUGUGACGAGCAAGGACGGUAGCACAGGAAUAAGUCUCGGCUAACUACGUGCCAGCAGCCGCGGUAAAACGUAGGAGACAAACGUUAUCCGGAGUUACUGGGCGUAAAGGGCGUGCAGGCGGCAGUCUAAGUCUGGCGUGAAAUUUCCCGGCUUAACCGGGGGAGGUCGUCGGAUACUGGGCAGCUCGAGGGCGGUAGAGGCGUGUGGAAUUCCGGGUGUAGUGGUGAAAUGCGUAGAGAUCCGGAGGAACACCAGUGGCGAAGGCGACACGCUGGGCCGCACCUGACGCUAAGACGCGAAAGCGUGGGGAGCAAACAGGAUUAGAUACCCAGGUAGUCCCUGAGCGGGCUGGCAAGGCGCAU